UUCAAAGUCAUCGGGGAGUAGCCACCGGAAACGGGGGCGCAUCAACAUACUCGCGUCAAUGCGUGGUGCGUCCGGCGGGCAUGACCGUU
rnacentral:sRNA from 2 species